CUUGCCUCAUGGGCUUGGGGACAGUACGGGCGGUGGAUGGAGGUCAGCGAGAGUAUUCGUGGCGUAGGUCUCGCGCCAUGGGAAGAAAGGGCUGCUGGGCGUGGGUACUGAAGACUUGAAUGUAGAGAGCUUCAGAAUCAUUUGCUAGGAGUCUAAUCUCCUAUACUCCCAUGCCAUAAUGGCAGCCCGCCUGGUGAAGCAGUGCACAUGCCUCCUGAGAGAAGCUACUCGCUUAUCCCCUGCUAUGGCUCCAGUUAGUCAACUGAGACUUGCCAGGGUAGCCCAUAAGACUUUGACCUUCUCAGCCACCUCACGUAGUUCCCACUCUCCAAGUUCCUUGACAGAACUGGUGGAAAGAGAUCAAGUGUUCACUCCCUACCCAGAGCGCCAAGAAGUAGAUCGGCUCAUCGAGAAGGCCACCAGUCCACAGGAACUCUUAGAACUGGUUGGUGGUGAUCAGAGUCUGCACCACAAUCACGCGGCCCUCAUACUUAUCCGCCUAUCUCGCCUGCUAUCCGAGAAGCCAGAAGACAAGGCCUUGCUUAUACAAGAUGUCCGGUUUCAGCAACUUCUUCAUCUGAUCAGUAGUCAGAUAGCCACAGUCUGGCAUGGGACUCUUGUGAAGCUGCUGCGGAGCUUGUACAUUCUGGAGCUCCCCAAGACCUCCAAGGAACUGCAGUCAGUGGAGCAGGAGGUGCGCUGGCGCCUGCGGAGACUCAAAUACAAGCAUCUGGCCUUCCUGGCUGAGUCCUGUGCCACCUCCAUGCAGGAGCAGCAUUCCCAAGAGCUGCUGGCUGAAUUGCUAGUGCACCUGGAAAGGCGCUGGACAGAGAUUGAAGAUGGUCGCACAGUUGUGGCCAUCAUGAUGAAGGCAGGGCACCUUUCAGAGUCAUUGAUGAACCGCCUGGAAGACAAGUGCCUGGAGCUGGUGGAGCAGUUUGGCCCUGAUGAGCUGCGGAAGGUGCUAGUGACACUGGCAGCUCAGAACCGGCGGUCGGUGCCCUUGCUGCGGGCCAUCUCCUACCACUUGGUACAGAAGCCCCUCCCGCUGACGAAAGGCAUGCUUCUGGACCUGGCCUAUGCCUACGGCAAACUCAGCUUCCACCAGACACAAGUGUCCCAGCGCCUGGCCGCUGACCUCCUGUCCCUCAUGCCCAGCCUGACACCUGGUGAGGUAGCCCGCUGCGCCAAGUCCUUCGCCUUCCUCAAAUGGCUCAACCUGCCCCUGUUUGAAGCCUUUGCCCAGCACAUCUUGGACAGAGCCCAGAAUGUCACCCUGCCUCACCUAUGCAGCAUGCUUCUGGCUUUUGCCCGUUUGAACUUCCACCCAGAAAAAGAGGAUCUGUUCUUCAACCUGGUACAUGAGAGGCUAGACCCUACACUCACAAGCCUGGAGCCAACCCUACAGGUGGACCUAGUGUGGGCACUCUGUGUGCUGCAGCAGGUGCGGGAGGUGGAACUGCAAGCUGUCCUCCAUCCUGGAUUUCACACAAGAUUUCUAGAGGGCAAGUGUCUAAAGGACCAGAGCACCCUCCAGAAGCUGCUCCACAUCAAUGCCACUGCCCUGCUGGAACACCCCGAUUACAAGGGCCCCCUCCUGCCUGCUUCAGCGUUGGCCCCCAGGCCUUCUGCCCCUGACAAGAAGAUGACCCCUUUGCAAAAGGAGCUACAGGAAACACUGAAGGUGCUGCUGGGAAGCUCUGACCGGGGCUGCCUUGAGGUGGCUACGCGAUAUGGCUGGGUGCUGGAUGCGGAGGUACUGUUGGAUGCUGAUGGCCAGUUUCUGCCCCUGAGGGACUUUGUUGCACCUCACCUUGUCCAGCCAGUUGGGAACCAGCCACUGCCCCUGGAGGCUAAGAGGGUUGCUUUUCUACGCUGGGAAUUUCCCAACUUCAAUAGCCGAAGCAAGGACUUGCUAGGCCGCUUUGUCCUGGCCCGGCGCCAUGUGCUGGCUGCAGGCUUCCUGGUGGUGGAUGGCUGGGCAUCUCAUUCACAGAUGAGGAAGUGAAGCUCAGAGGGUCACACAACUGUUGAGAAUCAGAGUGGUCACGGGAGCUGCAGCUCUGCCUCUCUUGUCAGGGUUGGUUCUCAGAAAAGGUCCCAUACUAUGAGUGGCUGGAACUCAAGUCUGAAUGGCAGAAAGGUGCCUACCUCAAGGACAAGAUGCGCAAAGCAGUAGCUGAGGAGCUGGCUAAGUGACCUGUCCCCUUCAGUCUGGACUACAUGCCCACAGGCUGACUACCCAGAGGCCCAGCAGUGAAACGCUGGGUGGGCAAGAACUGGCACCCUUGAGGAUGAACUGUCUCAGUAUAGAACUUUUGCCAGAGUUGGGGAGUGGCCUGCAGGUCCUCUCAUGGCUAAUAAAUCUUUAAAUUUGGUGUUCAGAACCAGGUGGCUUCCCAAGCUUUGUCACUCUCCUCCCCUCUGCUACACAUCUGCAUUGGAAGGCUAGAAAUGGCUCUUUGGGGCUUGGCAUGGAACCCAGCAAAGGAGGGCUGACCUGAAGGACAGAAAACCUGGGGCUCAGACCUGAGAUGUCUUUUCCUGCUGCCUGCCCCAGCUUCUUUCUGGGGUCCUUACUGUAGUGUGUGCACAUCCACAUGUGUCAGCUCAUUAUUGCUGGGGGGCCUGUGACCAACCCCUGCAAACCAAGUCCUAGAAUUCUGAAUUUCCAGGGAUGAUGGAAGGGAAGUCAUUUGAGUUUCUGGUGCAUAGCAGGGCUUUUGACCCAGCCUGACAACUCAAUCACUGUCCUGGGAGGCUCCCUCCCAUCCCUUGUUGCACACUUCGGUAAGUGGAAGGUCCUUGAUGGCCUCUGGUGACGUGGUAUGAGGACUGGGUAGAUUCAUGGAGGGUCCUGAGGCAGCCUCACUGCUUCUGCUGAGAAGCAGCAGGGUGUGUACCUUCCAACCUCUGUCAGAAACUCCCAUUGACAGAGCCUACCUGGAAGGGGGUGUGGUUGCUGUGGAUCUCCCCCAGCCAUUGGUGAACCUCUCACAACUGCUCCCCAUGCCAACCCAUUCCCUCAAAGGAGUUUAAUUGCUCCUCUGAAGCCUGUCAUCCCUCCAAGCAUUAGGAUCAUUUUGGGUCAGAUAACACUGGUCAUUUGCAGGUCCAGGUGUGCAGAACAGUUUCUUGCCUUGCAUGGACUGUCAGUUACACAAAGGAGUGAUCCCUGGCCCAGUUGGAAGGGGAUAAGCAGCUAGAGCUGGCAUUCUGAGGGAGGAGGGAAAAGCAUUCCAAAGUGAAGCAACAGUGUGGGCAAGUGCCUGGUCUUAGAGGGGACACACAAUGUGUACAGUGCUAAGGCCAACUAGCUGGAGAACCCAACUCUGGGAGAGCCUGAGUGCGUCCAAGGAAAUAAAUAUUUGUCCUGCGCACCACUUGGGGCCACUGGUUUUUAUUUUGAGGUAACUGGGGGCACCAUGUAGUUAUUAAGAAACAAGUGGUUCCCUCCCUCAAUUGUAGAACUAGAUGACAAAGUUCUACUGCAAUACUGAUGUAAGCAGAAGUCAGCCUAGACAUUCUCAUCACAUUGCCCAUAGGAUACCUCUUGUCCUCAACCAUCUGCAACCAUGAACCUUUGUUACUACUGUUUUAUCUUUACUGAUAAAAGUGAACAUAAAAUCUAGGUUCAGGUUUUUGUGUAAGUUUUUGUUAAUUUAGGGUAAACAUGCUAGGAGUAUAACUUUUUUUUUUUUAAUAUAUUUUUUAGUUGUCAAUGGACCUUUACUUUAUUUAUUUAUAUGUGGUGCUGAGGAUCGAACCCAGUGCUUCACACAUGCUAGGCAAGUGCUCUUCCACUGAGCCACAACCCCAGCCCAGGUAUGAAGACUGGGUAGAUUCAUGGAGGGUCCUGAGGCAGCCUCACUGCUUCUGCUGAGAAGCAGCAGGGUGUGUACCUUCCAACCUCUGUCAGAAACUCCCAUUGACAGAGCCUACCUGGAAGGGGGUGUGGUUGCUGUGGAUCUCCCCCAGCCAUUGGUGAACCUUCUCACAACUGCUCCCCAUGCCAACCCAUUCCCUCAAAGGAGUUUAAUUGCUCCUCUGAAGCCUGUCAUCCCUCCAAGCAUUAGGAUCAUUUUGGGUCAGCCCAGGAGAAUAACUCUUAGGUCAUUUCAUACAGAACUAUGAAUAGCUAUUUUCUGGAGUGUCUGUAUCAUUUUACAUUUCAGUCAACAGUGUGUGGGACAUCCACAUUCCACCCAGUAUUUGCUGGUAUCACUAGUUUUUUGUUUUUGUUUUUUUAAGUAAUUUGUCCAGGUGUGUAGUGAUUAUAAUGGUUUUAAGAUGCAUUUUCCUAAGUGACUAGUGAUCUUAACAUUUUUUUCACCUCUGAUAAAUUGACAAUAGAUGUUUAUUUGUCAUUUGUCUAUCAUCUGGUGAAAUGUCUCCACGUCUUUUGUCUGUGGAGUGAUAGCUUUUUCAUCAGUAAAUUUUGAGGGUGUUUUUUAUAUUCUAGAUCCUAACCCUUUGUUGAAUAUAUGAUCUGCAAAUAUUUUCUCCCAGUCUGCUUUUUGGUUAUUUUUACCAGAAUUUUAACCCACUGAAUGAAUCACAUCCCCAGCCCCUUUAUAUUUAAUUUUAUUUUGAGACAGGAUCUUAUUAGGUUGCUUACAGCGUCACUAACCACUGGAAUUACAGGUAUGCACCAUCAUGCCUGAUUGGAGACAGGAUCAUGCUAAAUUGCCCAGGAUGAUCUCAAACUUGCAAUCCUCCUGCCUUAGCCUCCCAAGUAGCUAGGAUUACAGGCAUGCACACUACACUCAACUUAAUCAGAUCUUUUGCAGAGCAUAAGUUUUUAAAUUUUCAGGGAGUUCAAUUGUCAGUGUUUGCUUUUCAUGGGACCUGACUACCCCUAAGUCCUAGAAACUCAAUUAUUUUCCUAUGAGUAUUAACAGUUUAACAUUUACACAUAAUUCCAUGAUCCAUUUUGAGGAUAUGUUGAAGUUUCCUUCAAAUGGAGAAACUUAUUUGCACAAUUUUUGUGAGACUUAAAUUGAGGGGUUUUUGUAACCUCUAGAUUCCCAACUGCUCCAGAACCAUUUCUUGAAAAAACCAUCCUAAACCAGUCAUGGUGUAUACCUGUAAUCACAGCAACUCGGUGGGGCUGAGUCAGGAGGAUCACAAGUUUGAAGCCAAUGUAGACAAUUUACAAGACCCUGUGUCAAAAUAAAAAUUAGGGAAGAACUGGGAAUGUAUGUAGCUUGCCUAGCAUGUGCAAUCCCUGAGUUCAACCCCUAGUACCACAAAUAAUAGGAAAAAAAAAAAAAAAGACAAGAUUAUCCUCUCCCACUCACUUGUCUUUUCACUUCAAAAAGGCAACUGGGGGACACACAGCACUGGGGCCCCUUCUCUUUGGAGAAGGCUAUCUCUUUUCCACCCAUUAAAUAUAACUUGCUUUCUAUGCUUGGGGGAAAAAAAAAAAUCAAUCGGGACCAGGCACGUGGUGCACACCUGUAA